CUGGUUUAAUUUCACUGCAGUUCUUCAAAACCCCUUUUGUAUAAUCCUGUGUGUAGUCUUUCCCAUAACGAGCCUUAGCAGUCUGGCCCUCUCUGACGGGCAGUUCUCAUUGUGUUCCCCGUAGCACUUGCAUGUUAGCAAAGCUUUAUCCCCUCACUGAAGGCAGCUUUUUUUUUUGUUAGGAAAACACCAAGGUAAAUCUCCAGGGGCCCUCAGGACUCAGUGGGUGUGUCACCGUUAAAUGACCCAGCCAGCUGGACAGGUUGAGGUACAAUUUACUGGAAAUAUAUUAAAAGUGUCUUGGGAAAUGAUUCUUAGAAACGUUCCCACUGCUGGUGUGAUGCAGAUUAGAAUCCCAGUGUGCAACUGAGAAAAAUUAAAUUGUAACAAGAAACCCCUGAUGGCACAAUGAUGGCUUGUGGGAAGGAGGGUUGAAUUCAAGAACUAAAGGGAGAAAAUUCAGCCUCUGGCAACUUUCUUCCUAGGUCCAAGCCAGGUCUGCACAGAGCAGGGGACUGGACAGGUUGGGGCAUCUUCCCUUGACAAGUGAGAUCAGUGUGCAUUUUCCAGGGAGGUGACGUGUCAAACUCUGCAUUCUGCUCUCUCUUUACCCUGCCCCUUAGUGACAUCCCAAGGGAACCAGAGCUAGCUGCUUUAUGCCGCUUUAUGCAUAGACAAAUUUGGCAGCUACUAGUAUGUUGUGGUUUGUGCAGGAGAAACUUUCUGCCUAGCAUGAUCACCAUUCAACCUGCUAUUUCCCUCAAAGCAGGGACUCUCCAGGAACCUCUAUUUGAAAUGCAAAUGUCCAGCGAAAAGUAGACAUUUAUCAGUCAUUAAUACCAUAGUGAGUAUCAUCAGAACUUAUCCAACUGAAUAAUCAGGACCCUAAGAGAGUGGGACACAGGACAGAGUAAAAAGAAUUUCUUUGGAACUGCUUAAGGAAGGCAAGCCAGGUUGGGGCACCAUAAAGACCCCUGGGCUCAUGAUGAAAGGUCCAGAAGGCUGGGGUGGGGGAAGCAAAAAGAAUGGGGAAAAGUACUUUAGAAAAAAAAAGGUACAAGGGCAUCAAGGUGAAUUUGACCAAUCUCAGACUUCGCCUUAGAGUUGUCCUUCAGGUGACAUGAGGAAUUCUAUAAAACUUGUUCUUAGCGUUUUGUCCUAGAAAUCUCAUCUAGCAUCUCUGAAAUUUUUUUUGGCUCAUUGGCAGUUGGCCUUGAGUACAUUAAACUAUAAAUUUAAAAAACAAAUUUAACUUAUAUGACAAAUAGAAAAGUAAGCAAAGGAAUUUUAUAUGUGUCCCUUUGGCCAUUUUCAUGAUCUGCCUGGCACAUAGUAGAUGGUCAAUACAUGUUUAUUCAAGAUGAAUUGAAUGUGUACAACAGGCAUUAAUGUAACUCCUACUUUAUGGGUAAGGAAAUUGAGUCUCAGAGGGGUUAAGCAAGUUACCCAAGGUUAGGCAACUAAUCAGUCCUUCCUUGUGAUACUCCACUUUGUCCUGUCCUCGUUACUUAGCUUUAAAGCAAUUCUUUCUGCUUUGUAUUCUGACUCUAAGACCAUUCUUCAUUGCCCCCUAUAGGAAAAGGGUCUUGGGCUCCAUAUUAUUAAACCAGGUACAUGUAGAAAAAUUGAAUGUGAUAUACAAGGAAGUCCUUGACCUUUUAAUUCUAAUCUUCUGAGUCUGCUGGACUUCUACGUCCCCAGUUUCCCAACCAGAUAUACUUUUCAGGCACCUUAAGGGCUUGAACAAUUUCUGCUUCUAGAAUCUUAUUUUAAUGGAAUAAUCAGACAUAAGGGCAAAGAUGAAUCUAUAAGGAGAUUUAUCAAAGUAUUAUUUUUAAUCAGAAAUCACUCAAAUAUCUGAGACUGGGAUCGGUGGUCCAUUUUCUUCCAUCAUGUGAGAUAGGAACACUGCUUGAACCACACAUGAGCUGGGUUUCCAAAGAGACAAGGUCAGACAUUUAUAUAACCCAAGGAUAGCACAUUUAAAGUAGGAAGAACUGAUGAAGAAGGACCCCUCAGGGGGCAAUGUAGAGCCAGGAGCUAGGGUGUUGGGUUGUAAGUCCAGAUUGGAGCUGGAUGGUCUCAAAACACUGGCAAGUACUUGCCUGAUAGUCUAACUGUGGAUGGUGUUUGGGGCAUCAGGGUGGCUUAAAGUAGAGACUAGAGAUGACUGUGCCAUUUGUGAGUUGCCCAACUGUGACCACAAAAAUCCAUUUCAAUUUAUUUCACUCACUGCCCACCUCCACUCCCAACCCAAACCGGGUCACCCUUGUUCUCUCUGAGAUUGUGGGAGUGACUCUCUCCAGACCAUUGAGCUAUCCAGUGGCUCUUUGAAAGGGAUUCUUGACAUCAUCAUUUUGUCUCCUUUUUAAUUACAGACUCAAUUUGAUCCCACAUUUGCAGAUAAUUCUAAACCACUAUGGCUGAGACACAAGAACGAUGACAUUUCUUAGGGUUGCUUUUUUUUUUUUUUUUUUUGAGAAUGCACUGUAAAUUAUCCCAUGCUGUUUCUCUUGAAGUAUUACAAGUCAUAUAAAUUUCUUUUUAUUUUUACUCCUUUUUGUAUGUGUGUAUGUAUAUGUCUGCCUGUAAUGUGUAACAGCAGAACAUGUGUGGAGGAAGGUAUGUGACCCUCUAGGCCUGCACUAUCCCCCAGUUGGAGCUAUUAGCCACUUACAUGCACAAUUAACCAGCUGAUUCUUAGAUUGAAGGCUGAGGGAGCUAAUUGCAGGUACAAAAAUUGCACCCAUAUAAAAGGAGGUUGGUCUGAACAUUUAAUCUUUAGACCUUCUUCUUCAGGGUGACUAGGUAGUAUUUAUUUUUUCGUUUGCUUAUUUAUUUAUUUAUUGUUGACCCAGCUCCCAGUUUGCUUUCAUCACAGUUACUAGUGGCAUCCAGUGGAAUCCCCUAUUUAUGCCAUGAAUAGCUUCUACCAAAUAAUAUUCCAUUCAAGGUCUGGCACAAAGAUCUGUUGCAGGCUUUUUCUGUCUGUGUAGUGAAUUUUGUUUUAAAUCUAGAAUUUUAAAACAAUGUAUUAGAAAAUAUGAAUGAGGUAUGUAUGUGUGUAUGUGUGUUGCAUAUCUUCUUAAGAAAGCUCCCUAGGAAGAGAAUAUUCAUAUGAACUGAAAGUCUGCUUUGUGCCAGGUCCCUUCAUCCAUUUUUAUUUAUCUUCUCAAUAACCCAGUGACGUUGGUAGAUUACUUACAUUUAAUACACGAGGUUAUCGAGGUUUCUCAAAGAGCCUGGGGUUACACCACUGGCCCGGGGUUGCACUACUCAUUUUAGGUGUAUUUGAUGUCAAAUCCCAGCUCUUAACAUGACUCAACUCAACUUUUCAGCUUGGUAAAAUUUUACAUCUCUGAACUCGUGGCCGUCAGAAUAACCAGACCCCUCUGACUGCAAGUGUUAAAUGGGUAUCUAGUCUUCACCUUCAAACUUUUUACCAUGGCACAACAGGCAAUCCUUUUCUGUGCCUCUCUUCCACUUUUCAUGAUCACUUCUCUGGCAUCCUGCCCCAUUCUGUCCUCUGGAUGCCCUAGGAUCUGUUCCUUCUCUGAGGACAUCCCCUUUCAGUUCUGCCCUCCUUAGGUAAUAAUAUUCCAUGAUCUGGAACUUCUUUGGGGCUUUCCUUCCCAUUCCUACCUAGCCACUUCCUUAUUGGAAGUAUAACUCCAAUAACAGGAGUAAGUAUAACUCCUAUGUUCCUGCCUCACAGGCUAUGCUCUAUGUUCUUUAGCUAGUUAAUAAAAUAAUUCUACAUGAACAUGGAGAUUGUUAGAUGCUAAUGGAUUAAUAAAUUAUGGUGCAGUCACUAUUUUCCUCUAUCAGUUUCCUCCUUGGGAAAAUGAAAAGGCAGGACUGAAGUAACUCUAAAAUCCCAUCUUUUUCAAUUUCAUUUUCAAUCUAUGAUCCAUGAACCUGUACACGUUAUUCUUACAUUUUGACAAGGGCCUUCUAUAUGUAAUGGGCCUUAAUUAAAUGAGCUUUCUUUUCUCUUCUACCCCUUAAAUGGAAUGACCCAGGUUUAAUGCUUGGCCAUAUCCCCUUUUAUAGGGGAUCCCUGUGACCCUGCAUUUAUACUGAUGACUCCUCAAUCUGUUUCCAGUCUGCCUUCGACCUUGAGCACCAGAUGUCUCCAGGUAGCUGUCUCCUGGCCAUUUCUGCUUAGGUUUUCCAUAGUCCCCUGAAGUUUACUCAAUACAGAACAGAAACAUCCUUUCCACUCUCCCUCAACCUGCUCUUCCUUCCUAUUCAUUUGUCCUUGUCACCCACUGGAAGAAUUUGCUAAUAUUCUUACAUUCUCCUCCGUUCUCACCUCCUAAAGUUAUUGCCUGUUUCUCCUUCAUCUUAUACUUUGUUUUCAUCCAUUUAAUGCUCUUAACUCUCCAGAAUAACCCCCAUUACUUUUCUUAGGAGUUAUUACAGUGACCUUAUACAUGUUUCCCAUCAUCUAUUGCUGUUUUACGUCGAAUCUUCCUGUCAUGCCCACCCCACAGAUUUUAUGGGAGAAGAUAAAAAAAAAAAAGAAGAAACAUGGAUAUAUCUUGCAAAUUUAAAGUGUUCUACUAGUGUGCUUAAUUUUUUCUUGUGUUCUGGAAAGACAGAGAUCUGAUUCUGGCUCCUGAGUCUUUGUGUUGCUUCCAGUCUCCAGAGUGAUCCCCUUUCUCCCCUCUUCUCUUUAGAAUAAUACUCUUUCUUCAAGGCCUAGCACAAGCCCCCGUCUUCCAGAAGCAUGACCUGACCAUCUCCGCUCUCUUUAACAUGUCUUCUCUCUAAACCUCUAUGCUUUCACUGUUUGUACUUCAUUAAUUACCCUCUUUAACUGCUAUUUGAUUUCCUGGUGCACCGUUUGUUCUCCAUGAUCAGGUUGCAAAACUGCUUGAAGGCAGGGACCGUUUCUUAUUUUGCUCUGAAACAUAUUUGGAGAUGCUCAAAAAGCACUUGACUGAUUGGCUAGAUGGACAAAUGGAUGCAUAGAUGGAGGAACCCUUCAGUAGGUUGCUACUUGAUUUGGUUUAGGAUUGCAAAUCUAGCAAUCUGCAAUUAGCUUGAGGAGGAUGACUUCUAUGCUGGUGGGUUACGGAAGGCCAGCAAUCCAAGCAGAGGAGCAGCAACUGGAUUCCGAACCCCUGACUCCACUCAGGUGUAGAGAGAAUGUAACCAGUGGAAAUGCUAUGAGGCAAUAAAAUGUAGACACCUCUCACACCUAGUACUUUUCUUUCUUCCUUUAGUGGUGCACCAGGAAGAGAUGGCAGAAUCAGGUGAUAAAGUGAGAGCAGCAUGUGAGGCGAGCUGGUGAGCCAGCUUUGCACCUCUGCCCUUACCAAGUGCAUCCAAGGGGUUGUAGCCCAUUGCUCCCUAUGCCCAUAUGGGUGCAUUCAUUAUUUCCCCAGCAAAUGUGGUCAGUGUCCCCUCUUUUGUAUCCAAAUACACAAUUGAACAAUAAAUAAAACCAUGGAAAAUCCACAGUGCCAGAGGUCUUCAUUCAUUGAUGAUUUUAAAUGAACAUUGCUGCAUAGGAUGAAAAGAGCCAUUUUCAGGAAAGAAUUUAAACUGCACUAGAAGAGGGGAGAAAAUUGUUCAACAUUUGGUCAGUCUAACAAGGUAAAAGGGAAUGUGGGGUGGGGGCAAGCUAUUAGGGAAGGAAAGACUUUCUCACACAAUGAGCAGGCAUGGGGUGAAUAAAGUGCCGGCGUGGGUCUGCAAACAAUGCGUUAAUACUCGCAAAGUUACCAGGCAGGAGAACAGUUCUUUCUCUACAGUUAAAAAACCAUAAAUACCUUCAUGCUUCUCUCUCUUCUCUCAAUUAUGCCUCCCCCUUCCUUUGGUUCUUCGUCUAUGAAACUUAAAGCAUAUUUGAGGUGCUUAAAGGAGGGCUUCAACUACUGUUUAACAAGUCAAUACUAAUUAUUGUUUAGCACUGGAUUAUGGGCCGGAUCAUGGAAUUAAAACAGAGCUGUUAGGACACCUUUGUACCUGGCAAAGAGUUAAUGAGCACAUGCUGGGUCCCUGUAGUAACUGCCAAGCUGGUUCACUAUUUUAUUUCAGUGGUGCAGGAACAAAACCUAAUAAAUUUCGUUUUACUUUUAUCUCGAUGCUUCCUUUCUUCAUUAGGGAAAUGAGGAAGCGUCAUUGUAAUGUUUAUCAUAAAUUGGGAAAUUAUUUUUAUAUUGUUCAAUUAGUUGGUUAUCUACAAGGUAGCGUGGAUGUGUAUAUUGGAGGGAAAAAAUUACAAGCAAAUCUAGUGUUAGUAAAAGGUGCUGGAUUAAUAGCAGAGAAAGGUGAUUUACCUCCUGGGACUACAGAUAGUGACUGGACACUGUGUAUGUGUGUGUGGACUGUGAAUAUAUAAUCCAGACAGUAGACAGAGGGAGUGUGUUUGUGUGUUUGUGUGUGUGUGUAUCUAUAUAUGAAAUGUAUAGGUUGGCAGCCUACAUUUCUGGAGCCCCAAGGUCCAGGCACUUGGGGUUUCUUGGAAGGCUCCAUUGGAAGGACAAUGUGAGGGAAGGAAAGAAAGUUGGGGGGAAUAGGGUAAAUUCUGAACAAUCUGUUUGCUCUGAUGAGAUGUCCAGCUGUGAUGGUGACCAGAUUUUCAUAGCAACUCAAUUCAGCAGAUCCCUGAGCAACUAAAUGGUCUUGGCUUUGGGGUCCUGCUGACUGCAGCGGGAUUUGAACUGGUGACCUAUAAGCGAGAAAUGCUCUUUGCUAUUGCUAGGUGCAUGUGCUGUUUAGCUUGACCCUCUCACUGCUUCCCGCUGGCUCUUCAAAAUUAACAUUUAGACAUGUUCAGCUCUGAAAUGUGGGGUGCAGGUCAUCUGGUGAUCAGACCUAAAGCUUAUUUUAAAAGCUUUGGAAAUCACUGAAAAAUAUAUUAUUUGUAUACAUUCUAUAAAUUUUAAGUUUCUUAUGUGAAAACAAAGCAGGGGAAAUACUCUACAUAUGUCAAGGUAUAUAAGAUAUAAUGUAUAGCUUAAUAACAGAUUUUAUUUUUGUUUCAAGUUUUUCCAUUUACUUUGGUACUUUACAAUAUUGGAGUUGCUAUGUAGAAACUAGGAGUCCAUUAAUAUGUGUAUCUUAUGCAGUCGGUAUUACAUAUAUAUAUAUAUAUAUUUUUAAAAACCCUCUUGAUCUUUAACCCCACUAUUGCAUAAAGGUUCAGGGGAUCAAUUGUAGAUAAAAAGACAGGAGAUCUCAGAGGGCUUACAAACCUAUUGGCAGCUUCUCAAGAUACACUACUGGGUCUGUAUGUAUUGGUAUUUAGCUUUGCAUGGCUCAGACAAGGAGAAACGUUGUAAUUGAUUUUAUUUGAAAGCAAGCAAUGGGGCCAAAGGGGAACUUUUGGCCUCCAGUUUUUGCUUUCAGCCUAUAUAAAGUAAGCAUUCCUAUCAGAGGUGUUUAAUGGUGCACUUGGUCUUUCUUUUCCUUUUUUUUCUUUUCUUUUCUUUUUUUUUUUUUUAAUACAAGUGUGAAUGGGUGCCUCAGGCUAAGCAAGCCCCACCUCUCAGAACCUCAGAGGCUGUGGGAAUGAUCCCUGCCCUCCAGACCCAUCCUUAAUUGGCCCAUAGUACAAGAAGCAAUUAAAACUAAGGGCCUGAUUCAUAAAAUGUGAACAUGCCAUUUAAAUGUGUGCAGGGGGAUUCUUGCUCAUAAUGCUGAAAUAGAAGCAGCAAGGAUUUUGUUUUUAUCCCCUAAGCUCACUCUUCAUAAAUUUACUUUUCUUUUUGCCUCUGGGCCCUAAAUGCCCUCCAUCCUUUCUCAGACAAAGCUAAAGCUAUCUUCAGGGUAAAGGUUGGUCUCAAGUCCUGGGGUGCCUGCUGACCUAGCCCAUCCUCUAUCCCCCUUCCCUUGGCCAGAUGUUUUAAUCAUGGUUUUUACAUAUCUAUUUCUGUUAUUUAAUCAUUUUUAUAUUUUGCCCAACAGUAUGUGGAAUGAAAACUCCAGAAACUGAGUUGAACAUUACUGUCUGCCGAGAUUGAAGUGAAGGGAAAGCUGCCAGACUCUGCCAGAGAUAAGCUUCAGAAAGGAGUUAGAGGAAGAGAAAAUACCCCAGAAUUCCAAGAGUGCUGUUUGACACUUACUGAGGAACUAAUUGCAGCGUGAGUGGGGCCACGAGACAAAUGCUGCAAUCCAGGCAUAAUGCGACAACAAAUACAAUAAGGUGCAAGAUAUUGCAUACAAUGUCAGAGGCUUUUCAGACUGUCUAGAAGGUCUUCAAUGCCGGAUUGAGAAUCCCUGCUGUACAGGUAUAAAUACAGUAGUUUCUUUUUAUCCGAAGUUUUGCUUUGUGUGGUUUGAGUUACCGGUAGUCAACAGUGGUCUGAAAUGUUAAAUAGAAAAUUCCAGAAAUAAUUCAUAAGUUUUAAAUUGUGUGCUGUUUCGAGUGGUGUGAUGAAAUCUUGUGCUGUCUUGCUCAGUCCCACCUGUGAUGUGACUCACGCUUUUGUGCAGAAUAUCCAUGGUGUCUUCAUUCACCAUCCAUUAGUCACUCAGUAGCCAUCUCAGUUAUCAGAUCAACUGUCAUGGCAUUGCAGUGCUCAUGUUCAAGUGACCCUUAUUUUACUUAAUAACGGCAGCCUCAAAGUGCAAACAGUAGUGAUGGUAACACAUUGUUAUGAGUGUUCCAUUUUAUUAUUUUUGUUGUUAAUCUCUUACUGUGCCUAAUUUAUAAAUUAAAUUUCAUCAUAGGCAUAUAUAGGAAAAGCAUAGUGUAUAUAGGGCUCCAUACUAUCUGGAGUUCCAGGCAUCCACUGGGGAUCCAGAAAUGUAUCCCCCAGGGAUAAGGGAGGAUACUGUAUGUUGAAGAGAAUGGGACACAAUCAGCUACUUGCUCAGAGGGAGUUUGGAAAAAAGGUACCUAAAAUCAAGUAAUUACAAUUUUCAUACCCUGAGAGGAUACAGGAUUGCUAAGUCUCCUCUAUGCUGUAAGCAGAACUGCCUCAGUCACUGUUGCCACCAAGGUACAGGAGUCCUGUAUUGAGUCUUUGCUGGAAUUCCUGGGACAUCCUGCCAACUUCAGGCUCCCCUUGAUUUUUGGGGACUGGUCUCAUUUCUAACGGACAGAUAGAGGAUCAAUGAGCAGAACUUUAUGGCUGUUGCAAGUUCACACAAAUCUCGCACCUACUCAUUUUCCUGGGGUGGUGAUUGUCUGUGUAGGUGGAGCUCACUACUGGUCACACAGCUUGCCAAGCAGAGCUCUAUGAGAGAUGCCUACAGAUUUGCUUCCUGAGACAUAGCUCUGUUCUCCAUCCCCCAUCAUGUUAGCGCAUCCGGAUAAGUGCCAGAAUAAAAGAGAGAGUAGGAGAAACACAUUGCUCUAUAGCUGUGGAGUUUUCUCUGUCCUUGGAUUUUGAAUUUUUGGUUGUUGACCAUUGGCUAGGACCAUAUGGCUCUCUGUUGUUUUCAUUCACAUCUCCUCUCCAGCUCCCCACACAAUGUUGGGACUGUUUGCAAGGCUCCUUUCCAUCAGUCCGCCCAGCAGCAUAUGACAUCUCAGGGAUUUACAUUUUUAAUUUAAUCAUUAGCUUAAUGUUUGGGGGACAUUAGUCAUAGGAAGUUAGUCUCAUUCAUCCAGAUGCAUUUUUGAAAGUUACAGCUCUUUUCUGUCUACCAUAAUGCCCCCCUUGAGCAUGACUUCUCCCAUUUCCUUUAAAAAACACUCUGUUCUUCUGGAACUUUCAAAUAAAGACAUCAAAGCUGGAAGGAAUUAUUAACUCAGAAACUACAUUUGAGACUUCCAGAGGAGUUGAACCUGGCUGGAGUUGUGGAGAAACAGUAUUGGUGUAGGGUCAGGAAAUGACUUAAACUUGAUCUUCAAGGACUUGAAAUUGCUCCCCUGAAAAAUGGAAAGGCACUUCUCUUGCCUACAACCCUCUGGGGAGACCUGAGUCCAGUGCUUGCUUUCCCUUCAAUGCAAAUGAAUGAACGAAGUUUGCUCCCUAGGCUUCUGGCCAACAGAACUGGAACCAUUUUUGGAAGUUGGGCUGCUCUUUGUGUUCUUCAGCUUUGUAAGUUUCUGGACAGAUGGCUCUGGAGGGGAAGGUGGGGCUUGGCAUGGGCUUUGGAAAUGUUGCCUUUAGAUAGAAGGGAGGAAGAUUAUUUCAAGUGAGCCAGUGACUUGAGAAAAAGUGUGGAAGCAGGUAUAAUAAUGAAUAUUCUGGGCCCUAUGAAUGCAUCUAUAUGAAUGUAAGUGGGAUAUCAAAGUUGUUCAGCCUGGAUAGAGCAGGCUGGGGCAAGGGUAGAAGUUUUCUUACCAUGUUCUUUAGAGUUUGGAGUUUAUUCUGUGGGUAGUCUAGAGCCACUGGAAGCAUGUGAGUUUGGGAAUUUCAGGGUCAAAUCAGUUUUAGAAUUGUUAGUUUGAUAGUGGUUAUCAUGUAACUGGUCUCAUGGGAGUCCCUUUGUGGAGCUUCCUUUCUCAAAUGAACAAAGGCCAGUGUUUUUUUUUUGAUAGUGAAAUUAUUUUGACCAUAGAGUUGCCAUUCUUUAUAUGACUAAGGACCCUCUUUCCAUUUUCAAUACAGUUUAAGAAAUCUUCUUGUAACCCUCUCCUCUCCAAGUUGAGCCAUUGGACUGCAGUUAUCUCAAGCACAAAGCCUUACCAACAUUUCCCUACAGAGCCUACACUUGAUUGUUUGUAGACAAAGUCAGCCAUGCCUUGGUCAUGAUCCAGAGAAGCCCAUUCUUUCUGUAUUCUGUAACCCUUUCUGGGCUGCACCCUCAUGACUCCCACGUGUCCUACCCCCAUCUCUCUUUGCCUUAUUCUUCAUCUGACCAUUUCCCAUUAAUAACAUCCUGCAACAGGAAAACUAUCCUUUUCUCAUUCAAGGAACUGAAAAAGUAACUUUCUCCUUAUAGCUCACCUGCUCAAGAGCCUCUCUACAACUCUUUUGGACCUCAUUGCAACCUGAAUAAUUCAAUUCCUUCACUUUCUUUCUGUCACCUCCACAUGUCAUGUAUCUAACUUAUCACAUUCACGAUUUAUAAAUACCCUUCCCCGUUUUUCUUUCUUCCCACCUGCCCAGAAAAUGCACCCUCUAGAGAGGCCCAGCAAUAUACUGUGAUUGUGCCUAUAAUUAAACAGCCAAACAUUGCUGGAAAGGAAGGAAGGAAGGAAGGAAGGAAGGAAGGAAGGAAGGAAGGAAGGAAGGAAGGAA